AGCGAACGCUGGCGGCAGGCUUAACACAUGCAAGUCGAGCGGGCGUAGCAAUACGUCAGCGGCAGACGGGUGAGUAACACGUGGGAACGUACCUUUUGGUUCGGAACAACUGAGGGAAACUUCAGCUAAUACCGGAUAAGCCCUUACGGGGAAAGAUGUAUCGCCGAAAGAUCGGCCCGCGUCUGAUUAGCCAGUUGGUGAGGUAACGGGUCACCAAGGCGACGAUCAGUAGCUGGUCUGAGAGGAUGAUCAGCCACACUGGGACUGAGACACGGCCCAGACUCCUACGGGGGGCAGCAGUGGGGAAUAUUGGACAAUGGGCGCAAGCCUGAUCCAGCCAUGCCGCGUGAGUGAUGAAGGCCCUAGGGUUGUAAAGCUCUUUUGUGCGGGAAGAUAAUGACGGUACCGCAAGAAUAAGCCCCGGCUAACUUCGUGCCAGCCGCCGCCGUAA
rnacentral:rRNA from 1 species